AAACGGUGUAACACUGCUAAGCUAGUGUAACAGCAAGUGAAACUGCAAACUUAAUCAAAAACAAAAAGAGAGAAAGAGAAAGAGGGAGCACUUGGUGGUGACCCAACCCGUAGCCCCUUUGUCCAGCAAGACAAUAGAUAACUGGGGCCACUGGAGUUUCAGAGAAGCAGCUUUUUGCCUACCACGGAUCUGUUCAGUGGGAGGCCACAAGAUUAUACAUCAGUUCUUGUACAUGCUGGACUGCCCUCUAUCCCUCUUGGGAAGAAACUUGUUAAGCAUACUAAAAGCUGCUAUCAGGUUCACUAAUAAGGGCUCCCUGCAGCUCAAACUGCCUAAGGCAUGGAUUAUCACGGCUCUCACAGUCCCUUGGGAGGAGGAGUAGAGACUCUUCCUGACUGAGCCGGGUUGAGAAUUAACCGCUGUGCUGGCCAAGGGAUGGCCAUGAGUCUGGGCAGAAGACAACCCUCCAGGUUGGCAGUAAGCCAAGCCCCGGUGGUUAUCAAAGUAAACCCAGGGGUAUUCCUAGUCAGACAAAAGCAGUACCAGGUUCCAAGGGAAGCUCUUAAGGACAUCCAGGUCCAUCUCAGACACCUGAAAGCCUAUGGUAUUAUAGUACCUUGCCAGUCUCUUUGGAACAUGCCUCUCCUGUCCAUCCGCAAGACGGGGACCAAGGACUACUGACCAGUGCAGGACCUGUGCUUGGUCAACCAAGCAACUAUGACCUUGCACCUCACUGUGCCCGCUCCCUAUACGUUGCUAGGGAAGGUUGAGGGUGUUCCUGCGUGUGUCCAUCACAGCCAUGUGAAACCUGCAGCACCAGACACCUGGGAAAUAAAGCCAGAUCUCCGUAACCCAUGCAAGAUCACCUUAAGGAGAGCUGAGACAGCAAGCCCUGCUCCAGUCACACCCCGGAAGCUGACUGGUCUACGCUCGGCCGAAGCAUGAAGACUUCCAGUGUGGGACCAACAUUCCAUUCUUCAAACUAUGGACUUGUGCCCGUAUACAUCAGAUCACCAAGGUAGAAACAGGAGGACUGAUUUAAAUGUGAUUGAAUCCAAAGAACUGGGAAUCAGGGGAAGACCCUGCAGCCAGGUCAAUCCUGUUACAAAGAGCUGUUUAAAGAAAAUGUAGUAGAGCCAGUCUGGUGGAUAAAGUUGUCUCUGGGUAAGACCUCCGUUUAAA